GACGUAGGGCGCAAGCGUUAUCCGGAAUUAUUGGGCGUAAAGCGCGUGUAGGCGGCUUUGCAAGUCGGGUGUGAAAUCCCUCAGCUUAACUGAGGAAGUGCGCCCGAAACUGCCGAGCUUGAAUACCGGAGAGGAUGGCGGAAUUCCCCAAGUAGAGGUGAAAUUCGUAGAUAUGGGGAGGAACACCGGUGGCGAAGGCGGCCAUCUGGACGGCUAUUGACGCUGAGACGCGAAAGCAUGGGGAGCAAACAGG
rnacentral:rRNA from 1 species